CUUUUGCUGUCAGGCCUAGGGGCAGAUUGCGCUAGAGUGGCUCCCUGAGGUUGGAAUGUGGCCGCAGCUCCGCUGGUGGUGACUUGGGUCUUAUUCAGCCACGUGACUGGCAGAUAAUUCCCAGGUUCCCCAGCGGUGCUUGAUUCAGUCCUGGUAGUCAAUCCACUGCAGCUGAAGCAGAGAUUCUGAUGUGCUCACGGAGGCCAGACUCUGUAAACUCAGUCCUGCCUGUUUUCCCCAAGGGAAGUCGGGUGGCUCCAAAUGCUUUCAGCCCUCCCAGAAUUAUACAGUGGACAAGGGCAAGGGACCAGUGCCAAAGCUCCAGCCCUCUGUAUGCCACCUUCACCUCUAUUUCUCUGAUUUGAGAUCAUCUUCAGUAUGAGUCUACACUAUCCAACUUCUCAAGAUAAUGUAUAGAGAAGCAGAAGUUGUCAUCAGAAGAUAGUAAUUGAUCAACCAAUCAGUGUUACUACCUGCCUAGAACUGAUGUCUUUUUCUACGUAUUAUCUUCCUCGAAGAGUUCAUUUUCCCAUGCUUGC
rnacentral:lncRNA from 1 species